rnacentral:rRNA from 3 species
UUCCAGCUCCAAUAGCGUAUAUUAAAGUUGUUGCGGUUAAAAAGCUCGUAGUCGAAUCUGUGUCCCGCGCCGCCGGUUCAUCGUCCGCGGUGUUAACUGGCGUGCCGCGGGACGUCCUGCCGGUGGGCUUAGCUCGCAAGGGCGGCCCAACUCAAUCCCGCCGCGGUGCUCUUCAUUGAGUGUCGAGGUGGGCCGGCACGUUUACUUUGAACAAAUUAGAGUGCUUAAAGCAGGCUAAAACUUCGCCUGAAUACUGUGUGCAUGGAAUAAUGGAAUAGGACCUCGGUUCUAUUUUGUUGGUUUUCGGAACCCCGAGGUAAUGAUUAAUAGGAACGGAUGG